rnacentral:rRNA from 1 species
GACGAACGCUGGCGGCGUGCUUAACACAUGCAAGUCGAACGGUAAGGCCCUUCGGGGUAUACGAGUGGCGAACGGGUGAGUAACACGUGGGUGAUCUGCCCUGCACCUCGGGAUAAGCCUGGGAAACUGGGUCUAAUACCGGAUAGGACCCUGGGAUGCAUGUCCUGGGGUGGAAAGUUUUUCGAUUAAGGAUGGAUUCGCGGCCUAUCAGCUUGUUGGUGAGGUAAUGGCUCACCAAGGCGACGACGGGUAGCCGGCCUGAGAGGGUGAACGGCCACACUGGGACUGAGACACGGCCCAGACUCCUACGGGAGGCAGCAGUGGGGAAUAUUGCGCAAUGGACGAAAGUCUGACGCAGCGACGCCUCGUGAGGGACGAAGGUCUUCGGAUUGUAAACCUCUUUCAGCAGGGACGAAGCGAAAGUGACGGUACCUGCAGAAGAAGCACCGGCUAACUAUGUGCCAGCCGCCGCAGUAA